rnacentral:rRNA from 1 species
ACGGCCCAACAAGCCUUUGAUCGGUACGGGUUGUGGGAGCAAGAGCCCGGAGAUGGAUUCUGAGACACGAAUCCAGGCCCUACGGGGCGCAGCAGGCGCGAAAACUUUACAAUGCGGGAAACCGUGAUAAGGGAACUCCGAGUGUCCGUAAAUGCGGACUGUCCGUAUGUUUAAAAAGCAUGCGAAGAAAGGGCCGGGCAAGACCGGUGCCAGCCGCCGCGGUAAUACCGGCGGCUCGAGUGGUGGCCACUAUUACUGGGCUUAAAGCGUUCGUAGCUGGGUUGUUAAGUCUCUUGGGAAAUCUACCGGCUUAACCGAUAGGCGUCCAAGGGAUACUGGCAAUCUAGGGACCGGGAGAGGUGAGGGGUACUUCAGGGGUAGGAGUGAAAUCCUGUAAUCCUUGGGGGACCACCUGUGGCGUAGGCGCCUCACCAGAACGGCUCCGACAGUGAGGGACGAAAGCUGGGGGAGCAAACCGGAUUAGAUACCCGGGUAGUCCCAGCCGUAAACGAUGCGCGUUAGGUGUAUCGAUGACCACGAGUCAUCGAGGUGCCGAAGGGAAACCGUGAAACGCGCCGCCUGGGAAGUACGGUCGCAAGGCUGAAACUUAAAGGAAUUGGCGGGGGAG